rnacentral:rRNA from 1 species
GCCUGAUCCAGCAAUGCCGCGUGUGUGAAGAAGGCCUUCGGGUUGUAAAGCACUUUUGUCCGGAAAGAAAUCCUUGGCUCUAAUACAGUCGGGGGAUGACGGUACCGGAAGAAUAAGCACCGGCUAACUACGUGCCAGCAGCCGCGGUAAUACGUAGGGUGCAAGCGUUAAUCGGAAUUACUGGGCGUAAAGCGUGCGCAGGCGGUUUGCUAAGACCGAUGUGAAAUCCCCGGGCUCAACCUGGGAACUGCAUUGGUGACUGGCAGGCUAGAGUAUGGCAGAGGGGGGUAGAAUUCCACGUGUAGCAGUGAAAUGCGUAGAGAUGUGGAGGAAUACCGAUGGCGAAGGCAGCCCCCUGGGCCAAUACUGACGCUCAUGCACGAAAGCGUGGGGAGCAAACAGGAUUAGAUACCCUGGUAGUCCACGCCCUAAACGAUGUCAACUAGUUGUUGGGGAUUCAUUUCCUUAGUAACGUAGCUAACGCGUGAAGUUGACCGCCUGGGGAGUACGGUCGCAAGAUUAAAACUCAAAGGAAUUGACGGGGACCCGCACAAGCGGUGGAUGAUGUGGAUUAAUUCGAUGCAACGCGAAAAACCUUACCUACCCUUGACAUGGUCGGAAUCCUGCUGAGAGGCGGGAGUGCUCGAAAGAGAACCGGCGCACAGGUGCUGCAUGGCUGUCGUCAGCUCGUGUCGUGAGA